CAAGUGUGAAAUAUGCUACCUCCAGUAUAUUGAGCUUCUUUCUUAGUAGCAGAAGGCACAGGGCACACUAGCUCAUUCUUUAUUUGGAAGAAGAUUCUCAGCAUCCCCAAGAUCUUGAGCCCUCUAAAAAUAAUAACUGUGGCAGGUUUCUGGCUCUUUGUAGGGUUGACCUCCUGCUUUUGUGAGUACUUGUAUCUCUUGUUACUGAUACAAGAGGUCUUGUAUCUCUUGUUACUGAUACAUCUGAUACCAUAGGGCCGGCUGGAUCACAUGGCCUGAUAGAAAGGCCUGAUUUAUGUGAUGUCAUCAGGCAUGCUGUCAUCAUGACCUUUGUGAUGCUCUGUGGCCAGAUGGCCCAGGUCCCUUUGGAAAUACUAUGACAGAAUCAAGGAGAAUUACCAAAGCCCCAGGGCAGCACUGAGUGAAUACUGCUAUUCAUCCUAUGGCUAUGAAUGUGAACUAUUUUGGAUACUUCUUUCUGCUGGAUAUGGAAAAGACAGCAUUUGCCAGAUCAAUAGCUGCCUGCCACUUACCUUCAACUAUGUUAAGUUGCUCUGGGGAUAGGGGCAGCUUCAGAGGCUUCCACUUGACCUUUUGUAUGACAGAAGCUCUUAAUCUACUGGCCAAGAAACUAUGCCCAGCCAUUGCUCCUGAGCUUCAGAACCACAUAUCCAACUACCUACAAGAUACCUUCAUGAGGAUGUGCCAGGCAGUGGAAACAUUCAGAGCAGAACUUCUCACAUCUCCAUACUUGCUGUCCCAUGUUCCUCUUCCCUGUGACUGGCACCGUAACCCAACAGUUAUAUCAAAAACUAAAAAGGUGUGAACAAAAGAAGCUUCCAAUCCUUCUGGCUUUCUUCCCAAAGCCAGGAAGCAGCUCCUGAGUGGUGGAUUUUGGAUUAUAGGUGAAGCUCCCAGCAAAGGGCCUGGCCCAGAGAAAUGCUCAAGAGUAGGAUGAAAAGACUGAGGACUUCUUCCUCUACAAAAGGAAGGGUUGGGACUGAUGGACACUGAAAAGUCUAGAUCUUCACAAUCCUCAACAGUUUCACCACCAAUGCACACACAAAAUGAGUGUGCCCUAUAUUUCCAGUCCUGUGAUGAAUAUGAAAAGAGCCUCACCUUCAGGUUCCAAGUCCAGAUCUGAGACCUCACAGGGAGGGCUCACCUUCCUGGUCCCAAAGUACUUCAAAAUAUAUAAUCCUUCAAUCUUAAACAUAUACAUUUUAUUGCUUUUUAUUAUACAGUUAUACAUAUUUACUAUUGAAAAUACAGGUAAGAAAAAAAAGAAAAUGGUUCAUUGCAUUCAUUAACACUAUCCAGGUUUGAAAAAUUACUGUUCAGCAUUAUGUUGAAGAAUCUGACUCUUUUCCUAUGCAUGCAUGGAUUUCAAGCAAAAAUGGAUACUCCGGGUAUACCUUGUUUUAUAAUUUUUUUCUCCCAAAUUAAUAUAUAAUUAACAUCUUUUCAUGUCAAUCUUCAAUCCUUUCUUCUGUCACUUAUUUUUAAUGGUUAACUAGUCAUCUACUGUAUGGAUAUUCUGUAAUUUAUUUAAAAGGUCCCCCAUUGUUGAAUAGUGAAAUUGAUGAUAAGAAAGUAACAAUCUUGUUGAGAAGACAAAGCCCAUGAGAAGUAGUUUCAUGAAAUUACAAUUGGAACUUGCUAUGUGCUGAGUGGCAGAAAUGCAAUAGAGUUCUGAAGGGAAGGAGUGGUUUUUGAAUGAAGGGUCAUGGGGAGGCUUUAAAGAGUAGGUAGGGUUGGAGUCAAACUUUGAGAGAGGGGCUGGAUUUCCACAGGUUAAGAGAUUGUAUUCAAAAUAGGAGAGCCAGCAGCAGCAAAGGUGCAGAGGCCAGGGUUUGGGUAGGUGUUUAGACCCUGGGGAGAGUUUAUGUCGGGGAUCAGCUCCACAGAGGGUUAGAAAAGGAAGACAACAGAUUCCAGAGUGGAUGGCAAGUGCAAGUCUGGCAAGAGUAAAUUUUAUCUUUUUUGGGCAAUAGGGAGCCACAGAGAGUUUUUGAGCUAGGUUGUGUCAUGAGUAGAUCUGUUUUUAUGAAGUCACUGUAUAAGCAGCUAGGGAGGGAGAAUGGCAUGAGAUGGUAUCCGAGGCAGGGAGAUCUGUUAGAAGGAAGUCCAGAGGAGGUGAUGAGACCUGGAUCCAGGCUGUUGACAGGAGGUGAGGGAAAUGGCUUGGAUGUCAUGGCUGGAGAGGGCCUGAGGAAGGAGCCACUGAAUGCACUAGUCCCAGGGGCUCACAAAGAGGAGAGCCUGCUGUCUGAUAACCUGGGGUCUGGGGAAGAGUUAAUGGGCUGCCUGUGGGCGAGCUAAUUGGCUCUUCAGUGGGGCUGACUCAUCCCAGCAUCCAAGCCAGUUAUUACUAAUACUGGGGAGGGAGGGAGAGAGAAAAUAAAACAAAAGCAGAGCAGUGGGAGUUCUGUCUG
rnacentral:lncRNA from 13 species